UGCAGGUUGAAUAGGUGGUUAGACUUGAUUAUUUGAUUGCCGCUGGUAGCCUUGAGACUACAGCGAGGACCGUCUUACCCUCCACAGGCUGCGCAAGCUCCUCUUUGAUACAACUUUUGUACUUCGAUUGCUCCCCAGUGAGUGAGGGGGAUUUUCAAAGGGCCGGCAGAGGAGAGAUGAGCUGCACAGAUAAACAGUCCAG